rnacentral:rRNA from 1 species
GCAAACGUUGCUCGGAAUUAUUGGGCGUAAAGCGCACGUAGGCGGUAUUGCAAGUCGGAUGUGAAAUCCCUCGGCUUAACCAAGGAAGUGCAUCCGAAACUGCCGUACUUGAGUACUUAAGAGGAUCGCGGAAUUCCCGGUGUAGAGGUGAAAUUCGUAGAUAUCGGGAGGAACACCAGUGGCGAAGGCGGCGAUCUGGGAAGAUACUGACGCUGAGGUGCGAAAGCGUGGGGAGCAAACAGG